UAAUAGUCUCAUUUUACAGAUGUGGAAAAUGAGGCUCAGAAAAGUUAACGUGCCCAAGAUCACACAGCUGCUAAAUGACAGAGCCACAAUUCAACCCACAUAGUCAUCUCUAGAAGCAAAGUUCCAGUAAAGGGAUUGAUGACUGGUCACCGUCGUCACGAACCUGACCUUUCCUGCAGCACUGCCUGGUACUUUCCCAGUACAGUGUUCUGCCCUGACACAGCCAAGGCCAAGGGCAGUGUAGGCACAGCAGCCGUGACUCUCUGCUGGGAGGUUAACAGCUCCAUCAGUUCAGGGACUGCCUGACCCAGCCUGACCAAAUUAGAGCAAGUAAUGGAUGUGACAUAAUUUGACAUGUACAUUGUUAAUUGAACCCAGUGGGAGAUGAUUUUAAAUAGAGGCGAAUACCACGCUGUGAACUAUUUGGGUUAUGAAGCUCUUAUUCUCUUAUGCUUGCAGGAGAAAGAAUUGUGCCAUGAAAAAUGGAAAACUCCCGAGAAGCUGUUCCAGCGUCAGGAGAGCAGCAGACAAGCUGGACUGGGGAAGAUUCUUCCUGGAAGUUUCGGAGAUGUCACUCUCAUUUCCUAGCAUCUGACCCCCAAAUCCUCUCAAAGCCCAAAUCAAGAACCACAGACUCUAGUCAUCUUUCCCCCAGAGACUUCCUAACUGGGGGACCGGAAACCCCAAUUACAAAGCCUGCCCUGGCAAGACCUGCAGAGUGUGCGACACAUACCAGCACCCAAGAAAUGUCUACCGAGGAAUUAAUGAAUGAGGUAAGUUGAAUGAGUGAAGCAAAGGUUUUUCAGGAAAUCCCGCGCCUUACCGCAAACCAGUAAGCCUAAUACUGGGUUUCAGGCUACUGAAAAUGACAUUUGAGAGCAAUAGACCUUUUGGGAGCAAUUUGCCUUUUAAAAAAUUAAAGUCCUUUAAAUAACAUUACCUGGUGAGGAUGACCAGGAAAAACAUAGGGCAUAGGGCGGCCUCCCCACAGGCAUUUUUCUUCUUUUCUCUUUCCUAUCAGGGUCCCAUACUUCCCAGCCAUGCUGUUGGCAGGGAUUCACAUAGUCGCAAUUCUCUGGGUACACCUUGGGACAUUUAAGCCAACCAGUGACCCCCAUCAUCCUAGCCCCAGAGAUUGGCUUAGGGAUAGUGACCCAAAGCAGGCCAAUGCAAGGUGACUUUGCCAGGGGCUUCUGGGAAAGAAGUUUCCUUUCUCUGAGGAAACGUGAAUGAGAACAUCCAUAACGCAGGUGGUGUCUGGCAGCCAUCUUGUGAUCAUCUGGCAAGACAGCCCAAGAAUAAAGCUGCCACCAUGGUAGACUAAGAAGACACAGAGAGACACUGGGUCUUCAUUGACUCGACCAGCUGCACAUGAGGCCUUACCUGAAGCCCACGUGACCUCUGCACUUCUCACAUGACAGAAUAAAGCUCUUUUUUGUUUAGACCAAAUAAACACAUAAUGCAAUUACAUAAUCCCUUGAUUCCUUUUUAUGACUGAGCUCAGAGACUGUAUUUUGUCAUUUUUAAAUCACCUUUAUCUUACAGUUUAUUUAACUGAAACAAAUAAACCAAAACACGCCA